rnacentral:rRNA from 1 species
CUGGAGGUAUCAGAAGUGCGAAUGCUGACAUAAGUAACGAUAAAGCGGGUGAAAAGCCCGCUCGCCGGAAGACCAAGGGUUCCUGUCCAACGUUAAUCGGGGCAGGGUGAGUCGACCCCUAAGGCGAGGCCGAAAGGCGUAGUCGAUGGGAAACGGGUUAAUAUUCCCGUACUUGGUGUUACUGCGAAGGGGGGACGGAGAAGGCUAUGUUGGCCGGGCGACGGUUGUCCCGGUUUAAGCGUGUAGGUGUGUGUUCCAGGUAAAUCCGGUUCACUUUAACACUGAGGCGUGACGACGAGGCACUACGGUGCUGAAGCAACAAAUGCCCUGCUUCCAGGAAAAGCCUCUAAGCAUCAGGUAACAUCAAAUCGUACCCCAAACCGACACAGGUGGUCAGGUAGAGAAUACCAAGGCGCUUGAGAGAACUCGGGUGAAGGAACUAGGCAAAAUGGUGCCGUAACUUCGGGAGAAGGCACGCUGACACGUAGGUGAAGUGAUUUACU